rnacentral:rRNA from 1 species
UACGUAGGGGGCGAGCGUUGUCCGGAGUUACUGGGCGUAAAGCGCACGCAGGCGGUCUGCUAAGUUUGGAGUGACAGUUGGUGGCUUAACUGCCAAAGUGCUUCGAAAACUGACAGACUUGAGGGCUUCAGAGGGACACGGAAUUCCGGGGUGGAGUGGUGAAAUGCGUAGAGAUCCGGAGGAACACCAAAGGCGAAGGCAGUGUCCUGGGGAGUACCUGGACGCUCAGGUGCGAAAGCCAGGGG